GACGAACGCUGGCGGCGUGCUUAACACAUGCAGGUCGAACGGAAAAGCCCUGCUUUUGUGGGGUGUUCGAGUGGCGCACGGGUGUGUAACACGUGAGUAAGCUGCCCUUGACUUUGGGACAACUUCAGGAAACUGGUGCUAAUACCUGAUAGGAGCUGCAGCAGCAUGGUGGGGGUUGGAAAGUAUAGGCGGUUGGGGAUGGACGCGCGGCUUAUCAGCUUGUUGGUUGGGUAGAGGCUUACCAAGGGAUUGCCGGAUCGUCGGCCUGAGAGGGUGACCCGCCACAUUGCGACUGAGAUACGGCCCAGGUUCCAACAGGAGGCAGCUGUGGAGAAUAUUACACAAGGGGGGGAAGCCUGUGGAGGAUACGCUCGGAGCGAGAUGAAGGCUUAGUUGUUAUAAACCGCUGUAGCCUGUGACGAAGCGUGUGUGACGGUAAUAGUUGAAGAAGCACCGGCUAACUACGUG
rnacentral:rRNA from 1 species